GGGGUAGUAGCUCACCGGUAGAGCAAGGGAUUGCAGAUCCCUGGGUAGUCGGUUCGAUUCCGGCCUGCCCCU
rfam:Trichomonas vaginalis G3, whole genome shotgun sequence.